UGGAUUCAAGUAUUGGCGAAUGCAGCAUUUAGCUCCCAUCGCUAAAAGCCUACAACUAUAGCUUCUCGGAGGCUCUGAAGCCUCGCCGUGGGUUCAAGUAUUGGCGAGUGCGGCAAGACUCGAGACUCUGGAAAGAAGAUGUUCCCGAGGCUCUCGAUCCGACCCAUUCUGCUGCUUUUCUUGAUCGGCGGCAGCCUUCUCCUCCCCAUGGAAGCUUACUACACUUUUGGCAUAAGUAUAAUACCCUUCCGCCCAACGCCUGAAACAAGAUCUGGAAAUUGUGAGUAUCCUAUGACGAAGUGCGAGUGGUAGUGCUAUGAGACGAGAAACGUACAUGAAUCCCUUUCCUUUCUUGAUCGUUUGCCGUUCUGACCUUGCUGAACGCUUAUCAAAAUGUUUGUUUUUUCAUCAUUCCUGCAGUAGGAAAGAACGGUGAACCAGGAACCGCUGUUCCAAAAUACCGAAAGAUCCCUUGGAAACGCAGAGGCGGCUGAGAGGCGCACGUGCAGCAAGACAAGGGGAUUGUAUAGCUUGGUAGCUAUCUCCAAUCAAAAAACCCGGCGCGGUUGGGCCGAUGUGCGUGCUACUAAUUGUAUCUGUGAUCUAUGCAGCUUGUUAAACAAGUUCGUAUGCAACAUGUCAUUUCAGUUUCUUUGCCCUUCAAGGGACUCGUUAAUGUUAUACACGACAAUUGGUAUUUGCCUUGUAUAAUUUCUUUUUUGAGGAUAAUUUCCCUUCAAAAUUGAAUCGCACUUGUUUGUGGAAAGGUUAACGGAACAACCUGAUCGAUAUUUACUGUCUUCCACGGUGUUCUUAUUGCUUGUCACUCACUAUUAUGUUCAGACAACCCCGAGGGUCUUUCCCCAUAGUUGAAUUACAG
rnacentral:lncRNA from 1 species